ensembl:lncRNA
CCUCUGGAACACUGUCUACACGUCCCCUGACCAUUACUGUCUGGAAGAGAGCAUAAAGCCAGCAGAGAAAGGCUUGCUCCAUCACCUGUCAACUCACCCAAUUCCGGAACUGGUUGAAUGUCCUGGAGGGACAGAUGGAACAUUUUCUCUCCUCGAAGAACAUCUCGGUGGCAUUUUCAGAGAUGAAAUGAAGUCUUCCCUCUGAUUGGAAAAUCAGUGUUGGUUCAUACAGACAGGCACAUCCCUACAAAUGUCUUUUGUCUGCCGAUGACGCACCACUUACGUCAGUUGCCUGCCAGAUACGUGGAAAAUGACGGUUCUGUACUACAGGUUUUCAUUCCUAUUAAAUGCUAUGGCAUGUGAUCUUGAACAAACGUUUGUAGUCAAUGUUUGAUCAAAAGCCCGAUUCGAUCAAGUAAAUAAAGCAUUAGAAAAAAUAAUUUCCUUCCUUUUG